ensembl:lncRNA
AUUUUUUUCAUGUAAUGAAAGUGAAAGGGUCUUAAAAAGGGUUUAAUUUGUCCCUCACUGUCCGUAUCUAUUUAAACUUAUCAGUUUGUCACCGAUGCUGUAAAAUCGUCCCACAUUCGCGUUCAUUGUGUGGAAAAGAGCAAUCUUCAUUCCUCGUGAUUUCUCCUUUUGUAUUCAAUGCAAGAAAGAACGUCAUUCGGUUUGGGAACAACCAGAUGCUACUUCUGAUAUCGCCGAACUUGUCUAUGUCCAAAACACUCGGGCCCUGUGGCCUGCCAAUGAGAGUACCCACGCUGAUUUGAUGCCCCCCCAACUCACGGAAGGUCGCAGUGGGCCAACAACUGUGACUGCUGCCCGCUGCACCCCACUGGCAUGCCCAUCUCCCCAUGGUGCCCGGAGAGAUGCCCUCUACUCUCACCCUGCCCAGACACGCUGGCAUGCUGAGCCAUUCUUGGAAGCAAGAAGAGACAGGCUUGCCAGCUUACUUUUCCCACAGGGUGUUGCUUUCUCUCCAACAACUGUGGAAUGAAACAAAGCAGUGGGAGAAGAGCGAGAGCAGCCCACACAGCUCCUGGGUGGUAAAGGCAGUGGUGUUUCUUUCUACGGCAUGUUGCCAUGGUUGACGAGUAGCUUUUCAAUCAUUAUAAGCUAUGACACAUCAUGUGGCUUGUUGAUCAAACGACGUCUCUUUUUCUUUCCGGUUCUCAGUAACCUCCGCUGAUCUACAAUCCCUCAAUAGCUCCAUGUUCCAACAGCUCUCUGCACAAACUCAUCCAAAACAAAUGGAGGGUGCCGGUAAUGACAGAUAAAUGUGAUUAUUAUUACUUUCCAUCCCGGAUGAGGCAAAGAGAGCAACCAAAGAUUCUUGUUAUCGUCAGCUUCUUCCUCUAACAGAAAAUCCUGUGAUUUUCAUGGGGGUACGGUGUGUAAUAUCGACUCGCUUUGAUAGUGUGCUUUUUAAAUUGGAAAUGACCCAGGGAUAUAAGAAAUAAUCAGACAUGGAGCACUGGCACAGCCGCCACUGUUCCGUCAUGGCAGGACAGCAGGGACUUGGGGCUCAUUUGCUCUCAGCGAUUGUCAGCAGGUUUCUCAUAGCGAGCAACAGAGUCAAAUUCAGCCUCAAUUCUUAAACUUGUUUUUUCCAGUGGCCUUGCAAACAAGACUAACUCUCUCACUAUUUCUUCCAGCCUCACGGCAGCAGAGAACUUCCGAGAGUUUGGUGAAUCCUUCCACUUUCUUCUCUGCCACCCUUACAGUUCCAGAGGCCUUCUGGAAGCCUGAAGACUCCAAACACUUUCUUCCCAUUUCAGGCCCCCUUUCUCUUUUCCUUGCUCUGCUGUCUCACUGCAAUCCUCCAUGGACAUUUUGUCCAUGCAAAUGGCUCUUAUCAACUCUCGAGUACUCAGCAUUUCAAUCCAUCCACCCCCAGACAGUUCACUUCAUUUCAACUCACAUUUUCUGUGUUUUCAGGGUCAGUCAACCAGAAAACCAAUUAUUCAUUCUCCCUUUAUCACCUGAAUGAAAGGGAGAGGGGUUAAGGCCUGCAACCCUAGAGUCCUUUUUGGUAACACAGCAUCAGACCUCAACUCCUGCAAUGGCCCAUUACCGUAGAAUCGCUGUAUCGCUUACUGUCUUCAUCUUGUUGAAGAGCCAAAAUAAAUUAUCAUGGCAUUUGCGUCUUUAUCCCUCA